GGGGUUGUGGCUCAGUGGUAGAGCACUCACUUAACAAGUGUGAGGUGCUGGGUUCAAUCCUCAGUACCA
rfam:Ictidomys tridecemlineatus contig081179, whole genome shotgun sequence.